GACGAACGCUGGCGGCGUGCCUAAUACAUGCAAGUCGAGCGAACAUUUGAGAGCUUGCUCUCAAAUGUUAGCGGCGGACGGGUGAGUAACACGUGGGUGACCUGCCUCUAGCUCUGGGAUAAGCCUGGGAAACUGGGUCUAAUACCGGAUAUGACUCCACGGCGCAUGUUGUGGGGUGGAAAGCCUUGUGUGGCUAGAGAUGGGCCCGCGGCCUAUCAGCUUGUUGGUGGGGUGAUGGCCUACCAAGGCGACGACGGGUAGCCGGCCUGAGAGGGCGACCGGCCACACUGGGACUGAGACACGGCCCAGACUCCUACGGGAGGCAGCAGUGGGGAAUCUUGCGCAAUGGGCGAAAGCCUGACGCA
rnacentral:rRNA from 1 species